UUCCGCCUACGGGACGCAGCAGUGAGGAAUAUUGGUCAAUGGGAGAGAUCCUGAACCAGCCAAGCCGCGUGAGGGAAGACGGCCCUAUGGGUUGUAAACCUCUUUUGUCGGAGAACAAAACCCGGGACGUGUCCCGGACUGCGUGUAUCCGAAGAAAAAGCAUCGGCUAACUACGUGCCAGCAGCCGCGGUAAUACGUAGGUGGCAAGUGUUGUCCGGAUUUACUGGGUGUAAAGGGCGUGUAGCCGGGCUGACAAGUCAGAUGUGAAAUCCGGGGGCUCAACCCCCGAACUGCAUUUGAAACUG
rnacentral:rRNA from 1 species